CGAGCAGUGAUGGACACCCUCAGCUUUUAUUUGUCUAGGACAGUCUAUCUCCCCUUCAUCUCUGAAGAACAAUUUUCCAAGAUAUACUAUUAUUGGUUGGCAGCUUUUUGCUUUCAGAACCUUGAAUACUGCAUUUCACUUUCCUGGCCUGCAACGUUUCUGCUAUGAAACCAAAAGUGCCCAGUGGAGUGUACACAAAGAGGAAAGAUUGUAAACAGGACAGAACUGAGAGAUGAAGAAGUGAUGAAAGAGAUUUCUUCAGGCCACAAAUUCAGCUGUGGAGGAAAGAGACUACAGAAUUAAUUUUGGACUUCCUCAGCAUCUUGGCCCACUCACCAAGAAGACUACUCCUGUCAUACCUCACCGAAAUGAGAAAGAAUGGAUGCA
rnacentral:lncRNA from 1 species